GACGAACGCUGGCGGCGUGCUUAACACAUGCAAGUCGAACGGAAAGGCCCUGCUUUUGUGGGGUGCUCGAGUGGCGAACGGGUGAGUAACACGUGAGUAACCUGCCCUUGACUUUGCGAUAACUUCAGGAAACUGGGGCUAAUACCGGAUAGGAGCUCCUGCUGCAUGGUGGGGGUUGGAAAGUUUCGGCGGUUGGGGAUGGACUCGCGGCUUAUCAGCUUGUUGGUGGGGUAGUGGCUUACCAAGGCUUUGACGGGUAGCCGGCCUGAGAGGGUGACCGGCCACAUUGGGACUGAGAUACGGCCCAGACUCCUACGGGAGGCGGCAGUGGGGAAUAUUGCACAAUGGGCGGAAGCCUGAUGCAGCAACGCCGCGUGCGGGAUGACGGCCUUCGGGUUGUAAACCGCUUUCGCCUGUGACGAAGCGUGAGUGACGGUAAUGGGUAAAGAAGCACCGGCUAACUACGUG
rnacentral:rRNA from 1 species